CCUGGCUCAGGACGAACGCUGGCGGCGCGCCUAACACAUGCAAGUCGAACGAGCGAUGGAGAGCUUGCUUUCCAGAGCGAGUGGCGAACGGGUGAGUAACGCGUGAGGAACCUGCCUCAAAGAGGGGGACAACAGUUGGAAACGACUGCUAAUACCGCAUAAGCCCACGGCUCGGCAUCGAGCAGAGGGAAAAGGAGUGAUCCGCUUUGAGAUGGCCUCGCGUCCGAUUAGCUGGUUGGUGAGGUAACGGCCCACCAAGGCGACGAUCGGUAGCCGGACUGAGAGGUUGAACGGCCACAUUGGGACUGAGACACGGCCCAGACUCCUACGGGAGGCAGCAGUGGGGAAUAUUGCACAAUGGGGGAAACCCUGAUGCAGCGACGCCGCGUGGAGGAAGAAGGUCUUCGGAUUGUAAACUCCUGUUGUUGAGGAAGAUAAUGACGGUACUCAACAAGGAAGUGACGGCUAACUACGUGCCAGCAGCCGCGGUAAAACGUAGGUCACAAGCGUUGUCCGGAAUUACUGGGUGUAAAGGGAGCGCAGGCGGGAGAACAAGUUGGAAGUGAAAUCCAUGGGCUCAACCCAUGAACUGCUUUCAAAACUGUUUUUCUUGAGUAGUGCAGAGUAGGCGGAAUUCCCGGUGUAGCGGUGGAAUGCGUAGAUAUCGGGAGGAACACCAGUGGCGAAGGCGGCCUACUGGGCACCAACUGACGCUGAGGCUCGAAAGUGUGGGUAGCAAACAGGAUUAGAUACCCUGGUAGUCCACACCGUAAACGAUGAUUACUAGGUGUUGGAGGAUUGACCCCUUCAGUGCCGCAGUUAACACGAUAAGUAAUCCACCUGGGGAGUACGACCGCAAGGUUGAAACUCAAAGGAAUUGACGGGGGCCCGCACAAGCAGUGGAGUAUGUGGUUUAAUUCGACGCAACGCGAAGAACCUUACCAAGUCUUGACAUCCCUUGACGAACAUAGAAAUAUGUUUUCUCUUCGGAGCAAGGAGACAGGUGGUGCAUGGUUGUCGUCAGCUCGUGUCGUGAGAUGUUGGGUUAAGUCCCGCAACGAGCGCAACCCUUAUGGUCAGUUACUACGCAAGAGGACUCUGGCCAGACUGCCGUUGACAAAACGGAGGAAGGUGGGGAUGACGUCAAAUCAUCAUGCCCUUUAUGACCUGGGCUACACACGUACUACAAUGGCGUUAAACAAAGAGAAGCAAGACCGCGAGGUGGAGCAAAACUCAGAAACAACGUCCCAGUUCGGACUGCAGGCUGCAACUCGCCUGCACGAAGUCGGAAUUGCUAGUAAUCGUGGAUCAGCAUGCCACGGUGAAUACGUUCCCGGGCCUUGCACACACCGCCC
rnacentral:rRNA from 1 species